UGAGUCUACUAUGUCUAUGUCUAUGAUCAUACGGCAAAUAUAGCAUCGCGUUUUGCUUUGCAUCCGGAGUGCCAAACAUACCACUCCGUUAUAGUGUAAACACAAUGCUGAGAAACAUAGUGAAGUUUUAACAAAAUUGAUUUGUAUUCAGAAUGGCAAAUGUAGUGGUCCGUAGUUAGUACGCUACGAAAAACCACGCCGUUAUAGUGUAAUCACAAUAUAGUCUCAACACUAGAAACGUAGUAAAUUUUUAACGGAGUUGUUAACCGUAGCGCCAUAGUGUAAACGCGCCGGGCCUUAAUUAAUAACAAUAUAUUUAUACGUCGAUUGUCGGGAGAAAUAAAUUUGACUCGACACAGGAGCGACGUAUAAACAGGGCCGUUAGCCAUGGAUAGCUGUUCUUUUAACUAUCCAUGGUACAGUCACGAUUUACGAUGGAUACAGGGCCUUUUUUAAGGAUUUUCCCGUGGGGGGGCAUUUUUUGAAAAGGGACCUUUCUGUAAGAUGACAUAUUACAGGGAGAUAGCAAUAGCUGAAGGCCACGUGUGUGACCAACACACCAUGCACGCAUGAAUGGGG